GCAUAGCUACAACCACUCGGAACAGGUUGAAGUACGUGUCGGACAAGAGCCGACCCGCCUGGAAUGGUGAGUCUAAGUAUAAGG
rnacentral:sRNA from 1 species